UAAGACAUAGUUUAUUUCUUGUGUCAGAGCAGGAAUCAAGCUUUUCGCUUUAUUUCUUGUGGUGCUGGUUUGAUGGGAUCAAAUGUGGAUGAGAAGAAACAGGAUCAUGAGAGUAGUUUGAAGUUGAAUAGUAAAGUUCCCACAAAGCCUUGAGCGCGAAAAUAUGAAAUUGAAUGGUAUAAAAGUGCACACAGUGGUGUGAGUAUAAUGCUUAACUUAACUAUUCUCAAGAAAGCAGUAAUGACAAUGAGGGUUACAUAGUGAGAAAUGUGGAGAUUGAAGAGAUGGAAUAUUCUCUUCCAAACCUGAGCCAGAAAAUCCAGAGGAUGAUAUGGACAACAGUGUGACUUAUAAUGAUGAAGAUGAAGACGAGGAUAACUGGGGUGAUCCUACUACCUAUAUAUUUAGUUCCAAGGAUGAAGUAAGUGGAUGCAAAGAGGAAAAACAGAGAGCAAUGGAAAAUUCAAGGCACUUGUGGGCCAGCUUCUUAAAUCUGUUGGACUUCCCUCUUCUGAUGAAGGAAACCAAGCAAGAAGCAAAGAAGAAGAAGAAGAAGAAGAAGAAGAAGAAUGAGUGAAGAGGAAUUAGAUACUUUCUCAAUGAUGGAUCCUUUGGAUAUGAUAGAUCCUUGGGAUAUGAUAGACUUGGAUGCGGAUAGAAGGAAU